CAUCCACCUUUGUACUACUGAUCCACGAUGAUGCUACCUAGCCAGGAUAAACCCACUGUGGGAUGACAAAAGUAAUAUGGACCACCAAGAAAGGAAAUCACCAUAUUCCAGACUCUGUGCUGGUACCCUUUACCAGACAUACACCAUCAGCAGCCAGUUCUGUGAAUCUCGCAGUUGGUGAACCCUGCUGAGACAAAAUGGAUCCCAGGACCUCCUAUCUGGACUGUAGCAUUAUUUUGUGUAUUCAUUUAUUUGAAGAAGGGAAAUCUGCCUUCAUGAAGAAAAUGUACUGGUCACAAGGAGUUGGACUGUUUUGAUCUUGCACGGCAAGUUCUCACUACAAAUUCAUUAACUGAGUGGAUUCCUAAGUGGCUUGAGUACAGGUAAGUAGCACUAAUCGUGUGGAUCAAAGCAGUAUCCUUUUUACAAUAAUUAUUUCUCGUUGUGAAAUUUUAAACUAAUAGUCUGUUUUUCUGGUAUUAUAUGGCAGUCUCAUGAUCCCGGUGAUAGUAUUGGCCCUUUGCUUUGCAAUAUUAAAUAGAAAUUAAGUUUUGCCUUGUUAAAACUCAGAGCUCCAUCCUGGACAUUGACAGCAAGAUGAUUGGACACAGGAAGGGAAUUAAUGCAACCUGAGGAAGUGCCUCCCCUGCUCCCCAUCAAGGGUACUCUAACCCUAUAACCACUAGCCCCACGCACCUGGAAGCAAUCCACUUAUUUUCGAAAGCUUUAAAAUUUUCUACAAACCCCAUCUUGCAGUUUUGUUAUUCUGUUGAUACAUUUUUUGCCCCAAAUACAGAUUUUGAAAUUUUUUUCUCAUCUGGACACUGGGU